AUUGAACGCUGGCGGCAUGCCUUACACAUGCAAGUCGAACGGUAACAGGUCUUCGGAUGCUGACGAGUGGCGAACGGGUGAGUAAAGCAUCGGAACGUGCCCAGUCGUGGGGGAUAACUGCUCGAAAGAGCAGCUAAUACCGCAUACGACCUAAGGGUGAAAGCGGGGGACCUUCGGGCCUCGCGCGAUUGGAGCGGCCGAUGUCCGAUUAGAUAGUUGGUGGGGUAAAGGCUUACCAAGUCGACGAUCUGUAGCUGGUCUGAGAGGACGACCAGCCACACUGGGACUGAGACACGGCCCAGACUCAUACGGGAGGCAGCAGUGGGGAAUUUUGGACAAUGGGCGCAAGCCUGAUCCAGCCAUGCCGCGUGUCUGAAGAAGGCCUUCGGGUUGUAAAGGACUUUUGUCCGGGAGCAAAUGCCUGGUGUUAAUAGCAUCGGGAGCUGAGAGUACCGGAAGAAUAAGCACCGGCUAACUACGUGCCAGCCGCCGCCGUAAUAC
rnacentral:rRNA from 1 species